rnacentral:rRNA from 1 species
UCAAAGCUUGCUUUGAUGGAUGGCGACCGGCGCACGGGUGAGUAACGCGUGGGUAACCUGCCUCAUACAGGGGAAUAACAGUUAGAAAUGGCUGCUAAUGCCGCAUAAGCGCACAGGGCCGCAUGGUCUGGUGUGAAAAACUCCGGUGGUAUGAGAUGGACCCGCGUCUGAUUAGGUAGUUGGCGGGGUAACGGCCCACCAAGCCGACGAUCAGUAGCCGACCUGAGAGGGUGACCGGCCACAUUGGGACUGAGACACGGCCCAGACUCC